GCGUGCUGCGACUCCACCGGAUCCUCCCAGACCUGCCCGUCCGCCCAGAACUUGUCGGGCUUCCAGCCGUCCAGGAACACAGGCGUGUAUGGAGCGAUGGGCCCUCUGAGCUCCGAGCUGAUGCCAUACAAAGAGAAUUGCGCCCCCAGCUGGCCAAGGGUUGCACACCAGAAGGACCCUUUCCAGUCAAUGGGAAAAGAUUUGCGCCUCCGACGGCGGACGGCAGGCUGCACCCACCGAGCGUGCGUCCAAUUUGGACCCAAGGACGUCCACAGUGUCCUCUCCUCCACGUUCAGGUUCUCUUGCAGCAACGACACGGCAGCGCCGGUCAAGGCGGGGCUGGACACAGAGGCGGCCAGAGCCGGCCCCCCUGUCGUCUUCACCAUCUGGACACACCCAGAUAAGACAAACAAACCACUGUUCACAUGCACGCUCUGAUAAGCGCCACGCUAGGUUCACACACGAACACUCUUUUCAUACAAUUACGCACUAGCGGCUAAAUAUAUAGCAUUAGUGAAUAAUAGCAUGAAUCACGCUCGGGCAAAGGUUACGACAAUUUGUUAUUUUUGCUUAGCACAUGAAAUGUGUCAUCUCCGUAGCUUUAUCUCGUUCGCUUACAUCUCUUAUGUAGUUUGCAGAACAGUAUAUAGUCUGCACAUACACUACUGCGGCACUAACACGUGAGCAACAGCCAGAGGCAAAUUGCUUGUGUGUUUCACGCACAUACUCGGCAAUUAAAACGAUAAUUCUCUUGCAGGUAUUAUAGGUAUUAUAAUUAGAUCCUAAUUAUAUAUAUAUAUAUAUAUAUAUAUAUAUAUACUAAUCCAAAUAAAUUAUAAUGUUAUGUACAGUCAAGUUUGAGGAUGAUGCACUCACCAUAUCCAAAGGUUUAAAUACGUGAUGAACAAGGUCCUCAGAGGAAGGAUUGGCUAUGGUUGAUUUCAAACGGGCCUACGCCGAAGAACACGCCGAUCAAAAAGCAAGCAAAAAAGAAGAAAUAGACUUGGUGGAAUACAGACCAAUAGACUGAAGCAAUAUUUGAAUUUCUGGAAGAUAUCGACAAACUCCUCUUCGGGUGGCGGCCUGGCUUUCACCGUGAGCAGAUCUUCUGCUUGAACAGAUAAUCAGAAAUGGCAAACCAAAAUACUAAAAUAGCGACCGAUGAAGCAAAUCCGAGUCAUUUUACCUUCAGCGCUCUGCUUUUUGCUUUUCUUCUUCUUCUUCCGCUGGUUGAGCACGAUGGCGGCCUCGGCGGUCUGCUGCAGCUUGGACAUGAAACUCUCGAUGUCAUCGAAGCAGUGAUUGAGGAUGUCCUGGAGGAGACAAAGUGGCUCUUUCAAAGUGUGUCCCGAGACGAGACUGUCCUGAAAAAAGGCGGAGGCGUACCACUUCUCGCUCGGCUCGAAGCAAGGACACGUCUGGGCCGCCGUUGGCUGCCGUGAGAGAGCCGAAGAAGAGGACAUCUGGUUUCUUCUCAUUGGGGCUUUGGCACACCAGGAGAAGGACCGACGGGAAGAGCUCCUCGCCGUUAACCGACUCGCAGCGGAAGAUGGAGUCCAA